CUGUGAGAUUACAUAUGCAUAUAGUGUUAAUGUUAUAAGAGUGUAGUAUCUACUCACAAAGUUAUCAGGUUAAAUAGUUUUAUCAACUAAUAAAAAUGUUAUUGCAUAACUAAUGUUAUAUACUGUAGCCCUGCCACGAUAUCCAGCGAGAAUUAUUUUGCUGAGUAUCGUAGUAAAAGUUAAGAUAUGAUGUUGAGAAUUUUUUUGAGUCGUGCAACAAUAUUAACAGCAAACUAUAAUACAAAUCUAUCUUUUUAAAAGUUUGUAU
rnacentral:misc_RNA from 2 species